rnacentral:sRNA from 1 species
AGCUGAGCCAGGGCAUGUCUGCGGCCCAGGCCAGGGCGCAGCGUGUGCCCUGGGGGCCCGGGCCUGCAUGGCUCCUCUGGGUAGGGGGUCGGGGGCACCCCCAAGGAUGGUCCCUUAGGGUGAUGUUUUGGCUUUGGGGUGACUUCAGCAAUGUCCCUGCGAGACAAGGGCGGGGAAGAAGAAUGUUUUGAAUACGACUGCCAGGAUGAAGAGAGGAAGCCAACCCACAGGCAGCAUGACACCCAGGACCUCUUGGAAGAGGUUUUAUGUGCUGAAAGAGUUGGCCAGAUGACUAAGACAUAUAAUGACAUAGAUGCUGUCACUCGGCUUCUUGAGGAGAAAGAGCGGGAUUUAGAAUUGGCCGCUCGCAUCGGCCAGUCGUUGUUGAAGAAGAACAAGACCCUAACCGAGAGGAACGAGCUGCUGGAGGAGCAGGUGGAACACAUCAGGGAGGAGGUAAGACAUUGGAGGCCGAGGCUUCCAGAGGGGCCCGCCACAGGCCUGGGAGCCGGAGGCAUGGCUGAAGGAGAUGACAGAAUGGGGUCCUAGUUGGAAGGACGCUCCCGAGGGCACGACCG